rnacentral:rRNA from 1 species
UACGUAGGAGGCGAGCGUUGUCCGGAGUUACUGGGCGUAAAGCGUGGGUAGGCGGCUCGAUGCGUCUGUGGUGAAAUCUCCCAGCUUACCUGGGAGGGGGUCACGGAUACGGUCGGGCUUGAGGGCAUGAGAGGCAAGUAGAACUCCCGGUGGACCAGUGAAAUGGGUAGAGAUCGGGAAGAAUACCAGUGGUGCAGACGGCUUGCUGGCGUGUACCUGACGCUGAGCCACGAAAGCAUGGGGAGCAAACAGG